UUUUCGCUAUACCAAAUAUGUCAUGUCUUUCUGUGAACAAUUCACCAAGUGGGUAUUUUUAGUGUUCCCAGGUCGGACUAAUCAUACUUGAUCUCAAUGAACCAAAGACUUGUGAUGGCGCGAAACGAAAUUGGCGCCCUUUUAGUCCCGUUGGCUCGAACACGGCUGUAUCCAGCCCAAAUUUGUCUGCCAUCCAAAUCAAAUAUUGUUCUUUUUGCCAUCGGUUUCAUCCAAGAAUGACCCAUUCGUAUUGUUCUCAUUAUAAAAAGAUGCAGGAGAGAAAUCUUCUAGCUCACGCUGCACAUGAUGCCGUGUAACACGAGAUCUCAGGAAAGACAUGACAUAUUUGGUAUAGCGAAAAGAGAUUCUGGGAGAGCUGUGCAAA